AAGGGUGUGGGAUCAAGGGAGGGUUUUUUGUUUGUUGUUUUGUUUUAGACAGAGUGAUAUUACAGCACAGUUACACUGUGAAGAGAGUGAUCCAGUAGGGAGGGACACUGAUGCUGCAGGAGACGGAGGAGGCAGCUGUUGGAGGGAGGUCUCUGUGAAGGUCUGUCUUCCCACUCAUCACCCUGCACCUGCACUCCCACUGGCACCUGCGCGCCGUGCUUAGGAUGGUGUUGAAGACAGAAGACCUACCCUUGUGGAAAGUUAGAGAACAAUGUAAUACAAGUGCUCCCUCGGGGCAACUGGGAGCGGUAUAGACACGGAGUUCUCAGGAAGGAGAGAGCACCACCCGGUAACGGGGCCCUCUCCAUGGGGCCCUGGGCACAGGGACAGCCGCCCCCCGCAGCUUUGGUACUACCCCUGCCUUACUUCAUCGGCACCGAGCCCCGUCCACUCACAUGUCCCUGCUUCCCAGACCUUCCCCUGCAGAAUGAAAGCAGACUCCCCCUGCCCUGGGGCUGGGCUUGGCCCAAGACACUUCCACUCUGAAUAUUCUUAGUAGUUCUGUGUUUUAGCUUACAAACCUUUGGCCAGUUUUGUGUUCUCCAUGAUAUGUCUGGAGUAGCUGUUGUAACAUUAAACAGAUGAACUUGCUUAUCAAGGGAAUGAACUCUCCAGGAAGAUGUGCCACGUGUGGCCUAUGGGUGGCUUCAUACACCUGAUACGCCUGCCACCCCCCAGCCCAAGCUGAGCAGCACUGCAGAAAACACUGAACGAGCAUUUACUGGAAGGAAAUGGGAGGGCAGUGGCCCUUAGAGAGUAAGAGUCAGUGGGCAGAGAAGAACAUUCUAGAUGGAGGGAUUGGGCUGUGCAAAGGCAACAAGGAGAGGCGGAUGUGUGCACCCCCGGGAGAAGCGUGCAGACUGCAGACUCACUCUGCGAAAAUCAGUGCAAUAAAAAGCUAGCAUUUCAGUGCUUACCACACAUC